rnacentral:rRNA from 1 species
UACGUAGGGGGCAAGCGUUGUCCGGAUUUAUUGGGCGUAAAGAGCGUGUAGGCGGCCAUACAGGUCAGCUGUGAAAACUCGAGGCUCAACCUCGAGAUGUCGGUUGAAACCGUAUGGCUAGAGUCCGGAAGAGGAGAGUGGAAUUCCCGGUGUAGCGGUGAAAUGCGCAGAUAUCGGGAAGAACACCCGUGGCGAAGGCGGCUCUCUGGGACGGUACUGACGCUGAGACGCGAAAGCGUGGGGAGCGAACAGG